rnacentral:rRNA from 1 species
GAUGAACGCUGGCGGCGUGCCUAACACAUGCAAGUCGAGCGAAGCGCUUAAAUUAGAUUUCUUCGGAAUGACGAUUUUUGUGACUGAGCGGCGGACGGGUGAGUAACGCGUGGGUAACCUGCCUCAUACAGGGGGAUAACAGUUAGAAAUGACUGCUAAUACCGCAUAAGACCCCAGCUUCGCAUGAAGCGGUGGUAAAAACUCCGGUGGUAUGAGAUGGACCCGCGUCUGAUUAGCUAGUUGGUAAGGUAACGGCUUACCAAGGCGACGAUCAGUAGCCGACCUGAGAGGGUGACCGGCCAAAUUGGGACUGAGACACGGCCCAGACUCCUACGGGAGGCAGCAGGGGGGAAUAUUGCACAAUGGGGGAAACCCUGAUGCAGCGACGCCGCGUGAAGGAUGAAGUAUUUCGGUAUGUAAACUUCUAUCAGCAGGGAAGAAAGUGACGGUACCUGACUAAGAAGCCCCGGCUAACUACGUG